rnacentral:rRNA from 1 species
GUUAUCGUUUAUUUGAUAGUACCAUACUACUUGGAUAACCGUGGUAAUUCUAGAGCUAAUACAUGCCAAAAAUCCCGACUCCGGAAGGGAUGUAUUUAUUAGAUAAAAAGCCAACGCCCCUCGGGGCUCCGUGGUGAUUCAUGAUAACUUUACGAACCGCAUGGCCUUGCGCCGGCGGUGGUUCAUUCAAAUUUCUGCCCUAUCAACUUUCGAUUGUUGGGUAUUGGCCAACAAUGGUUUCGACGGGUGACGGAGAAUAAGGGUUCGAUUCCGGAGAGGGAGCCUGAGAAACGGCUACCACAUCCAAGGAAGGCAGCAGGCGCGCAAAUUACCCAAUCCCGACACGGGGAGGUAGUGACAAUACAUACUGAUACAGGGCUCUUUUGGGUCUUGUAAUUGGAAUGAGUACAAUUUAAAUACCUUAACGAGGAACAAUUGGAGGGCAAGUCUGGUGCCAGCAGCCGCGGUAAUUCCAGCUCCAAUAGCGUAUAUUAAAGUUGUUGCAGUUAAAAAGCUCGUAGUUGAACCUUGGCCCUGGCUGGCCGGUCCGCCUCACCGCGUGUACUGGUCCGGCCGGGGCUUUCCUCCCGGGGAUCCGCAUGGCCUUCGCUGGUCGUGCCGGGGAUCCGGGGCUUUUACUUUGAAAAAAUUAGAGUGUUCAAAGCAGGCAUCCGCUCGAAUACAUUAGCAUGGAAUAAUGGAAUAGG